rnacentral:rRNA from 1 species
UACGGGGCGCAGCAGGCGCGAAAACUUUACAAUGCGGGAAACCGUGAUAAGGGGACACCGAGCGCCAGCAUCAUAUGCUGGCUGUCCGGGUGUGUAAAAUACACCUGUUAGCAAGGGCCGGGCAAGACCGGUGCCAGCCGCCGCGGUAACACCGGCGGCCCGAGUGGUGAUCGUGAUUAUUGGGUCUAAAGGGUCCGUAGCCGGUUUGGUCAGUCCUCCGGGAAAUCUGACGGCUCAACCGUUAGGCUUUCGGGGGAUACUGCCAGACUUGGAACCGGGAGAGGUAAGAGGUACUACAGGGGUAGGAGUGAAAUCUUGUAAUCCCUGUGGGACCACCUGUGGCGAAGGCGUCUUACCAGAACGGGUUCGACGGUGAGGGACGAAAGCUGGGGGCACGAACCGGAUUAGAUACCCGGGUAGUCCCAGCCGUAAACGAUGCUCGCUAGGUGUCAGGCAUGGCGCGACCGUGUCUGGUGCCGCAGGGAAGCCGUGAAGCGAGCCACCUGGGAAGUACGGCCGCAAGGCUGAAACUUAAAGGAAUUGGCGGGGGAGCAC